GACGAACGCUGGCGGCGUGCUUAACACAUGCAAGUCGAACGGAAAGGCCCUGCUUGCUGGGUACUCGAGUGGCGAACGGGUGAGUAACACGUGGGUGAUCUGCCCUGCACUUCGGGAUAAGCCUGGGAAACUGGGUCUAAUACCGGAUAGGACCGCACCGUGAGGGUGUGGAGGAAAGUUUUUUCGGUGUGGGAUGGGCCCGCGGCCUAUCAGCUUGUUGGUGGGGUAAUGGCCUACCAAGGCGGCGACGGGUAGCCGGCCUGAGAGGGUGGACGGCCACAUUGGGACUGACACACGGCCCAGACUCCUACGGGAGGCAGAAGUGGGGAAUAUUGCACAAGGGGCGGAAGCCUGAUGCAGCGACGCCGCGUGGGGGAUGACGGCCUUCGGGUUGUAAACUCCUUUCACCAUCCACGAAGGGUUUCUGACGCUAUAUGGAGAAGAAGCCCCGGCUAACUACGUGACAGCAGCCGCGGUAAUACGUAGGGUGCGAGCGUUGUCCGGAAUUACUGGUCGUAAAGAGCUCGUAGGUGGUUUGUCACGUCGUCUGUGACAUUCCGGGGCUUAACUCCGGGGCGUGCAGGCGAUACGGGCAUAACUUGAGUACUGUAGGGGAGACUGGAAUUCCUGGUGUAGCGGUGAAAUGCGCAGAUAUCAGGAGGAACACCGGUGGCGAAGGCGGGUCUCUGGGCAGUAACUGACGCUGAGGAGCGAAAGCAUGGGGAGCGAACAGGAUUAGAUACCCUGGUAGUCCAUGCCGUAAACGGUGGGCGCUAGGUGUGGGUUUCCUUCCACGGGAUCCGUGCCGUAGCUAACGCAUUAAGCGCCCCGCCUGGGGAGUACGGCCGCAAGGCUAAAACUCAAAGGAAUUGACGGGGGCCCGCACAAGCGGCGGAGCAUGUGGAUUAAUUCGAUGCAACGCGAAGAACCUUACCUGGGCUUGACAUAUACAGGAUCGCGCCAGAGAUGGUGUUUCCCUUGUGGCUUGUAUACAGGUGGUGCAUGGUUGUCGUCAGCUCGUGUCGUGAGAUGUUGGGUUAAGUCCCGCAACGAGCGCAACCCUUGUCUUAUGUUGCCAGCACGUUGUGGUGGGGACUCGUAAGAAACUGCCGGGGUUAACUCGGAGGAAGGUGGGGAUGACGUCAAAUCAUCAUGCCCCUUAUGUCCAGGGCUUCACACAUGCUACAAUGGUCGGUACAGUGGGUUGCCAGUCCGUGAGGGCGAGCUAAUCCCGCAAAGCCGGUCUCAGUUCGGAUCGGGGUCUGCAACUCGACCCCGUGAAGUCGGAGUCGCUAGUAAUCGCAGAUCAGCAACGCUGCGGUGAAUACGUUCCCGGGCCU
rnacentral:rRNA from 1 species